CUUGGAGCAGAUUUUCUUGCACUACAAACUUUACCUUUACUUGGAGAAAGCAGGCAUGUGCCUCUGACUCUGCUGCCCGCUGCUAUGUGCCUUAUGUCAGUGUAAGUUACCUUCUAUGUGUUUGAUUCUACUUUUUUCUAUGCUGCUCUAGAAUCUCUUCCCAUUCAUUCAAAGUAAAUAAGAGAUUCAGCACACAGGAGACGGACGUACUGGGAUUAGACUGACAAGCAUGACCUCAUCCCAGCCUAUCCCAACCUGCUGUCCACGCUGCAUUCGAAUGGCAGUCAGUGAGGAGGGAGCCCACACCAGCAUGGAUGGACACGUGAGCUGUCAUCAGCAAUGUACACUGCAGCUGCAUCACCAGGACCUGUAUUUUUCUACUUGUUUUUAUAUCAUAUCCUAUAAAAAGUCAGCUUGGGGCUCUGACAGUCUGC
rnacentral:lncRNA from 1 species